CCAUGCCGUCUCUCCCCGGGGAGCUGGAGCGGCUGGGCCCAGGGGCCUGACCCUUUCCCUUCUCCCACAGUGUGUAGCGGCCAAUGGGUCGGUAGGUUGGGCUGAGGAUUUCAGGGACUCGUGAGGGAGGGGCCUGGGAGGGCACCUGAGAUGCACUGCCCUUGCGACCAUAGUUCUCCAGGUAGUCGACCAGGUACUCAGGGCGGCUGGCUGCCUGAUAGAGCCCCUGCAGGGUGCAGAGCUCCUUGCGCGUCCGGGCCAGCAUGGGGCUGCGGCCCAGGUUCCCGGGGUCUAUGCGGUAGCUAUCUGAGGUCCGGAGGCUGGAGAAAUCCCGGGCCAGGUCUGAUUGGCUGUCCGACUUCUGGGUUAGGGUCACCCCCUGGUCAUAGGGAUUCACGGGCAGGUAGCUGAGGCAGUUGUUGGUCACUCCAUGAGGGAAUCCGCUGCCCCCGCUGAGGCCACUGCCUGAAGGCCGCUCAGUACCCCGGGUCUGGCUCUCUGCCCGCUUACCACCCCCAGUGAUGUCGGGUCUCAGCAGGGGGCGGCCCCGGUCAUAGUCCAGGAGGGAGGAGGGGCCAUAGGUACGGGGACGGGUGAGGAAGCUGCUGGUGGGGACCGGCUUGAAACCAAGUUUGUCCUUCUCCAGUAAGGAGGAUAGACGAGUCGAACCGGGCACAAGCAUGGAGCUGCGGGUGAGUCCCGGCUGGCGCUGGCGCUGGCGCUGGCGCGCCGCAGUGAGCACCAGCUGACGCAGAGGGCUCCCCGGCCUCGGCUCCUGCCUGCCUCUCUC
rnacentral:antisense_RNA from 1 species